rnacentral:rRNA from 1 species
GAUGAACGCUGGCGGCGUGCCUAAUACAUGCAAGUCGAGCGAACAGACGAGGAGCUUGCUCCUCUGACGUUAGCGGCGGACGGGUGAGUAACACGUGGAUAACCUACCUAUAAGACUGGGAUAACUUCGGGAAACCGGAGCUAAUACCGGAUAAUAUAUUGAACCGCAUGGUUCAAUAGUGAAAGACGGUUUUGCUGUCACUUAUAGAUGGAUCCGCGCCGCAUUAGCUAGUUGGUAAGGUAACGGCUUACCAAGGCGACGAUGCGUAGCCGACCUGAGAGGGUGGUCGGCCACCCUGGAACUGAGACACGGUCCAGACUCCUACGGGAGGCAGCAGUAGGGAUUCUUCCGCAAUGGGCGAAAGCCUGACGGAGCAACGCCGCGUGAGUGAUGAAGGUCUUCGGAUCGUAAAACUCUGUUAUUAGGGAAGAACAAAUGUGUAAGUAACUCUGCACGUCUUGACGGUACCUAAUCAGAAAGCCACGGCUAACUACGUG